ACACAAGAAAGAAUGGUAAAAAAAAAACAAAACGUCGACAGCAGGAUUCGAACCUGCGCGGGCAAAGCCCAAUUGAUUUCGAGUCAAUCUCCUUAACCACUCGGACAUAUCGACAAUUUGUUUAGAAAGCAAAAAUGAAUAUUCUUAAAUACAUACUAAUGUUCUAAGCGGGGAUUGUUUCCUCAUUUGUUUUCCUUUUGACAUUUAUAUGUUGGUUUCCUUUCUAUUUUAGUGGCAAAAACGCGACAAUAUUUUUUGAAGUCUAAAAAGGCACACAAAUUAGCUUAGAGUUUGGUCUGUUAUCUACCGCAAACCCUAGGCCAUGUCCGGUAAGUACAAUCAAGACGGCGGCGGCGGUGCGCCUAUUCCGUCGUACGGUGGUGAUGGAGGUUAUGGAGGCGGUGAUGCUGGAUACGGAGGACGCAGUGCCUCUGGCGGACGCGGUGGUUACGGCGGUGGCGGUAGAGGAAACAACCGUGGCGGUGGUGGAUAUCAAGGAGGCAAUCGCGGUGGAAGAGGAGGUGGCGGCGGCAGAGAUGGUGAUUGGCCUUGCCCUAAUCCAAGUUGUGGGAACGUGAACUUUGCAAGGAGAGUUGAAUGUAACAAGUGUGGUGCGCCUGCUCCUUCUGGCACUGGGGACCGAGGAGGUGGCCGAGGGGCCAGUGAUCGUGGUGGUGGUGGUCGUGAUAGUGGUAGUAGGAGCUAUGAGAGUAGUAGUAGUAGAUAUGGUGGUGGCAGUAGGAGUAGAGGUGAUAGUGGCUCGUACGGUAGUAAUAGUCAACAUAGGGAUAAUAGUUCUUAUGGUCAGGGUCCUCCACCUCCUCCCUUGGCUGCUAUUCCAUCCUACGAUGGUUCUGGCAGUUACCCUCCAGCCAUGGGGUAUGGAAUGGAAGCAGUUCCCCCGCCUUCAAGCUAUGCCGGUGGUCCCCCUUCUUAUGGUGGUCCCACAGGGGGUUAUGGUGUUGAUGCACCGAGGGGUGGUAGAGGUGGUGGCUAUGAUGCUCCUCGACGCCAGGAAUCUAGUUAUGGAGAUGCACCUGCUGAAAAAGUCAAGCAGUGUGACGCGAAUUGUGAUGAAACAUGUGAUAAUGCCAGAAUAUACAUCUCUAAUUUACCUCCGGAUGUGACCGUUGAUGAACUCAAGGAUCUCUUUGGUGGCAUUGGCCAAGUUGGGAGAAUCAAGCAGAAGCGGGGUUACAAAGAUCAGUGGCCCUAUAAUAUCAAGCUUUACACUGAUGAGAAGGGAAAGAAUAAAGGUGACGCCUGCCUGGCUUAUGAAGAUCCCAGCGCCGCACACUCUGCAGGCGGCUUUUUCAACAAUUAUGAAAUGAGGGGGAACAAGAUUGGUGUAACGAUGGCAGAGAAGUCUGCGCCCAAAGCGCCUGCUUUUGAUCAGAGAGGCGGUGGUGGUAGAGGAGGAGGUGGCUAUGGUGGUGGAGAUAGAAGAAGAGAUAACUAUGGUUCAGGACCAGACAGAAACCACCAUGGGGGAAACCGGUCUCGUCCAUAUUGAGAGAAAGAGAUCAAUCAGUUAUUAUGUGCUAUAAGAGUUUGUGUGUGUAAGGGUGGAAAUGUUAUUAUAUGAAUCAAUCAUAUAUAUUGGAGGUACCAAACAAAACAAAAGAGAAGGAAGUGGAUAAUUAACUCCAAAAUGCAUUGCAAAUUGGUGGGUAAGGUUCAUACUGAUUUUCAGAUUUAUUACGUGAGAAACGGCAGGAGUAGGGACCAGCUACACUUGUGUCUAAUCCGUGGAGCCGGAAGUAUGCAGUUGUGAAUUUAGUGCUAACUAGGUCCGGGUAUUAUAAGCCCCCCUUUAGGCUAUAGCUAGUUGAUGAGUAAUACAAAAAGAGUGGCGUUUUUAGGUCAAUACAAAAUUACAAACAGUGCAUCACGUAAGUUACAUUUCAGAGGAAGGGUUGUCUGUAAAGUGUUAGAUGUGUCUUGAUACGGUAGGAGCCAAUUGGAAAUCUUGUUGAGAUCCAAUUUUCGUUGGAAGGAUAGUGGAUUUCGUGAUUUUUUCUUGAUCAUUUCCACUGAGGAUCCUGCUUAUGAACGGCGGAAUGCAGUAGAUCAAUCGUCGGCUGGGUCCAUGUACCACAUUUUGUUUUGGUUAAAGGCUCCAUCCACCACUUGGCGCCGUUACAUCCCCUCACGGUUCCAACAUUGGAUUUUAUACAGAGGCCUGGUGGAGGCUUGUAAGAAUCAGUACAGAUUUAUAACCUUUAAACCUACGACAGUGUAAUUCUAACCAAGUGGAUGACUUUUAACAUUUGUAAAAAUCCAAAUUUUCUAAUGUUAUGAAGGCCAUACAUGUUAUUUUU